rnacentral:rRNA from 1 species
UGUUUUGAGAGUUUGAUCCUGGCUCAGGAUGAACGCUGGCGGCGUGGAUAAGGCAUGCAAGUCGAGUGGGUUUAGGCCCACGGCAAACGGGUUCGGAAUACAUAGGAAUUUCCCUCAGAGUCGUGAAUAAUUCGGAGAAAUCCGAGCUAAUACACGAUACGCUCUACGGAGUAAAGAUUUAUCGCUUUGAGAUGAGCCUGUGUCCUAUCAGCUUGUUGGUGAGGUAAAAGCCCACCAAGGCUAUGACGGGUAGGGGGUGUGAGAGCAUGACCCCCAACAUUGGAACUGAGACACUGUCCAAACACCUACGGGUGGCUGCAGUCGAGAAUAUUCCACAAUGGACGAAAGUCUGAUGGAGCGACGCCGCGUGUGGGAUGAAGGCCUUCGGGUUGUAAACCACUUUUUUCAGGGAGCAAUUUCGAUGAGAGUACCUGAAGAAUAAGAGGUUACUAACUCUGUGCCAGCAGUAGCGGUAAUACAGAGACCUCAAGCGUUAUCCGGAUUUAUUGGGCGUAAAGGGUAGGUA